AUUGAGCGCUGGCGGCAUGCUUUACACAUGCAAGUCGAACGGUAACAGGCCGCAAGGUGCUGACGAGUGGCGAACGGGUGAGUAAUGCAUCGGAACGUGCCCAGUCGUGGGGGAUAACGCAGCGAAAGCUGCGCUAAUACCGCAUACGAUCUAUGGAUGAAAGUGGGGGACCGUAAGGCCUCGCGCGAUUGGAGCGGCCGAUGUCAGAUUAGGUAGUUGGGGGGGUAAAGGCCCACCAAGCCAACGAUCUGUAUCUGGUCUGAGAGGACGACCAGCCACACUGGGACUGAGACACGGCCCAGACUCCUACGUGAGGCAGCAGUGGGGAAUUUUGGACAAUGGGCGCAAGCCUGAUCCAGCAAUGCCGCGUGCAGGAAGAAGGCCUUCGGGUUGUAAACUGCUUUUGUACGGAACGAAAAGGCUCUGGAUAAUACCUGGGGCUCAUGACGGUACCGUAAGAAUAAGCACCGGCUAACUACGUGCCAGCCGCCGCAGUAACAC
rnacentral:rRNA from 1 species